GACGGAGGAUGCAAGUGUUGUCCGGAAUUACUGGGCGUAAAGAGCUCGUAGGUGGUUUGUCGCGUUGUUCGUGAAAACUCACAACUCAAUUGUGGGCGUGCGGGCGAUACGGGCAGACUGGAGUACUGCAGGGGAGACUGGAAUUCCUGGUGUAGCGGUGGAAUGCGCAGAUAUCAGGAGGAACACCGGUGGCGAAGGCGGGUCUCUGGGCAGUAACUGACGCUGAGGAGCGAAAGCGUGGGGAGCGAACAGG
rnacentral:rRNA from 1 species